GACGUAGUUCAGUUGGUUAGAGCGUCAGAUUGUGGUUCUGAAUGUCGUGGGUUCGAGUCCCACCUUCC
rnacentral:tRNA from 1 species